UGGAAUAUAGCUCAGUGGUAGGGCACUUGCCUGUCACGCAUGAAACCCUGGGUUUAAUCCCCAAUACCAC
rnacentral:tRNA from 1 species